UUUCUAGCCGUUGACGGGUGACAGGGGUUUUGGGACUGACUCUGGAGAAAAAGCCUUAGAAACGGCUUUUAGACCUAUGGGUUGCAGCAGUUACGAAACUUGCCCAAUGCGCCUUGCGCGAGGCAGUGACGGGGAAUAUCGGUACGCGGUUCUUUUGAAUCGUGUUUUGGAAUGAGUACAGUUUAAACCCUUUAGCGAGGAUCAAGUCGAGGGCAAGUCUGGUGCCAGCAGCCGCGGUAAUUCCAGCUCGACGAAGGAACAUUAAAUUUGUUGCAGUUAAAAAGCUCGUAGUUGAAGUUCUAGUUUUGUUUAGAUUGGAGUGGGGUUAAACCCAUUCUUGUUUCGACAGGCUAUGUUGCUUGAUGGGUGGUUCACUCUGCACGUCAAGCUCGUUUACUGUGAUUGAAGUGAUGCGUUCAUUGCAGGCUUUAGGCUUGAACAACUCGCACGGAAUAAUGAAUUGAAUAUAGACAAUUUGUUGGUUUAUGUUUAGAUUUAUGUUUAACAGGAACAGUUGGGGGUGUCUGUACUUUUAUGCUAGAGGUGAAAUUCUUGGAUUAUAAAAUGACAAACGACCGCGAAAGCAUUUACCAAGGAUGUUUUCAUUAAUCAAGAACGACAGUUUGGGGAUCGAAGAUGAUUAGAUACCAUCGUAGUCCAAACCAUAAACGAUGCCGACUCAGGAUUUCCGCACGCUGUAUUGGCCGCGGGAGCACUGUAUGAGAAAUCAAAGUCUUUGGGUUCCGGGGGGAGUAUGGUCGCAAGGCUGAAACUUAAAGGAAUUGACGGAAGGGCACACCAGAAGUGGAGCCUGCGGUUUAAUUUGACCCAACACGGGGAAACUCACCAGGUCCAGACAUAAAGAGGAUUGACAGUUUGAAAGCACUUUCUUGAUCUUAUGGGUGGUGGUGCAUGGCCGUUCUUAGUUGGUGGAGUGAUUUGUCUGGUUAAUUCCGAUAACGAACGAGACCUCAAUUGCUAAAUAGGAUGCUAUAUUUUUAAUAUUGUACGCCUUCUUAGUGAGACAAUCUGGUUCAACCAGAAGGAAGAGUGAGGCAAUAACAGGUCUGUGAUGCCCUUAGAUGUUCUGGGCUACACGCGCGCUACAAUGACGAGUUCAACGAGUUUUUCCUCGCUCGGAAGGGCCAGGUAAUCUUUUAAAUUCUCGUCGUGAUGGGGCUUGAUACUUGCAAUUAUUAUCAUCAACGAGGAAUUUCUAGUAACCGCGAGUCAUCAGCUCGCAGUGAAUGCGUCCCUGCCCUUUGUACACACCGCCCGUCGCAGCUACAGAUUGGAAGGUCCGAUGAGCUCUUUGGAUUUGGAUUUCGGGCGCA
rnacentral:rRNA from 1 species